GUGGGGAAUAUUGGACAAUGGGCGAAAGCCUGAUCCAGCCAUGCCGCGUGUGUGAAGAAGGUCUUCGGAUUGUAAAGCACUUUAAGUUGGGAGGAAGGGCAGUAAGUUAAUACCUUGCUGUUUUGACGUUACCGACAGAAUAAGCACCGGCUAACUUCGUGCCAGCAGCCGCGGUAAUACGAAGGGUGCAAGCGUUAAUCGGAAUUACUGGGCGUAAAGCGCGCGUAGGUGGUUUUGUAAAUUGGAGGUGAAAUCCCCGGGCUCAACCUGGGAACUGCCUCCAAAACUGCAUGACUAGAGUACGGUAGAGGGUAGUGGAAUUUCCUGUGUAGCGGUGAAAUGCGUAGAUAUAGGAAGGAACACCAGUGGCGAAGGCGACUACCUGGACUGAUACUGACACUGAGGUGCGAAAGCGUGGGGAGCAAACAGGAUUAGAUACCCGAGUAGUCC
rnacentral:rRNA from 1 species